ACUGGGAUAACAGUUAGAAUAGACUGCUAAUACGGAUAAUUAGUAAAGAAAACUUUUAUACUAAAAGGAGCUUCGGCUUCACUUUGAGAUGGGCUUGCGGUGUAUUAGCUAGUUGGUGGGGUAAUGGCCUACCAAGGCAACGAUGCAUAUCCGAGCUGAGAGGCUGAUCGGACACACUGGGACUGAGACACGGCCCAGACUCCUACGGGAGACAGCAGUUAGGAAUAUUCGUCAAUGGGGGAAACCCCUGAACGAGCAAUGCCGCGUGAGUGAUGAAGGCCCUAUGGGUUGUAAAACUCUAUCAGCAGGGGAAGAGAAUGACGGUACCUGACUAAGAAGCCCCGGCUAACUACGUGCC
rnacentral:rRNA from 1 species